CCUACGGGUGGCAGCAGUGAGGAAUAUUGGUCAAUGGACGAGAGUCUGAACCAGCCAAGUUGCGUGAAGGAUGACUGCCCUAUGGUUUGUAAACUUCUUUUAUAUGGGAAUAAAACAGGGUAUGCGUACCUUCUUGUAUGUACCAUAUGAAUAAGGAUCGGCUAACUCCGUGCCAGCAGCCGCGGUAAUACGGAGGAUGCGAGCGUUAUCCGGAUUUAUUGGGUUUAAAGGGUGCGUAGGUGGAUUGUUAAGUCAGUUGGGAAAGUUUGCGGCUCAACCGUAAAAUUGCCGUUGAAACUGGCAGUCUUGAGUACAGUAGAGGUGGGCGGAAUGCGUGGUGUAGCGGUGAAAUGCAUAGAUAUCACGAAGAACUCCGAUUGCGAAGGCAGCUCACUAAACUGCAACUGACACUGAUGCUCGAAAGCGUGGGUAUCAAACAGGAUUAGAUACCCUUGUAGUC
rnacentral:rRNA from 1 species